GAAAAAACAAGAGAAAAAGAGAGAGAGAGAGAGAGAGUUAAAGAAAACGAAUAACACACUACCCAGCUAAGCCGAUCAACCUCCCAACUUCAUUUUAUGCCUACUCCUCUGAACGGUACUAUCCGCCGUGGAUUGAAGCGUCGACUCGCCAUUAAAAAUUUAUUAUCAAAGAUGGGACACAUUGUGAAUAUCGUGAAUGGCCAUCCACAUCGCGCGAGGCGUAAAAGUGGAACGAGCUACUGCCGAGGGGUGCCUCGUGAUACGAUGGAGUGAAGCGACUGAGAGAGAUGGAUAGACAUAGAGAGGGUGAAAAGAGAGAGAGAGAGAGAGAGAGAGAGAGAGAGAGAAAGAG